GCCAUUAAGGCGGUCUUACGAAAAAGACCGCCUUAUACAAAAGUUUGUAUCAAUUGUUUGUGCAACUGCUUUCCUGAUGGCUCGUUUGGAUUAAGAUCUGCAAUUUGAACUCGCGUGCUAUGCUCAUUAGGAUCUGCAAUUGAACUCCCCCGGUCGUCGAUACCAAAGUCCUCCCACCUGGUUCACUGAAUCCACUACUCUUGAUGUCACCCUCACCGGUCACAACUCAAAGGGAAGAAUCAUGUUUCGUUCGUGAUUAUUGCAAUUGAUGAUUGCAGGUCACAACUAAAAGGAAGAUCCACCUUAUUUUUGCUUUUUAGUUUUUCCAUCAUUCAAAUUAAUUUCAUUUUGGACUACUGUAAUACUUGUAUCAUUGUCAGAUGAAUGAAUAAUAUUUUUCUAUUUUAUUGAUUGCCUUUUAAUUUCAUUCGCUUUA